rnacentral:lncRNA from 1 species
UAUGACCAUGACUGUACUUACCGCAGUGGUCCUAUCAGAUAUUCUAUAGCCACACCAGUACUUAGCCAAAGGUGACCCUUAGCAGAUAUUUGCAUCAUCGCUCUCGUCAGAGGGUACGCCAUCAUCCAUAGGGAGUGGUCCUCUCACGUCUUUUUAGACCAGAUGGGAGAAGGAAAAAUAGAUAUCCCUCAGAGAUAAAGAUACUAAUGAGACACUUUAUGCAUUAUACAUGUUAAUACAGAUACAUAUAUUUUUUUCAG